UAUGUGAUCGUCUCUCGCAUAUCAAUAAGCGGAGGAAAAGAAACUAACAAGGAUUCCCCUAGUAACGGCGAGUGAAGCGGGAAGAGCUCAAAUUUGAAAUCUUAAAGGGUUUCCCUUUAUGAAUUGUAGUUUAAAGAAGUGUUUUCUGUUGAGGUUUUGGUAAAAGUUCUUUGGAAUAGGACAUCAUAGAGGGUGAGAAUCCCGUAUUUGACCUUUACUUUCAACUUUGUGAUACACUUUCAAAGAGUCGGAUUGUUUGGGAAUGCAGUCCAAAAUGGGUGGUAAAUUUCAUCUAAAGCUAAAUAUUGGCGAGAGACCGAUAGCGAACAAGUACCGUGAGGGAAAGAUGAAAAGAACUUUGAAAAGAGAGUUAAACAGUACGUGAAAUUGUCAAAAGGGAAGCGUUUGACACCAGUGUUGUUUUUCUGAAAAUCAAUUAAAGAACUGUUUAUGCUAAGCUGUUUAGACUUUAUCAGCUAUCUGUUUAGUUUUGAGCUUUUCUUUAAUGCACUUUUCAGUUAACAAGUCAACAUCAAUUUCUUUUGCUGUAAAAAAGCUUGAGGAAGGUGGCUUGAGAUUCGUCUUAAGUGUUUAUAGCCUCUUGCCUAUGCAGUCGGAGAGAUUGAGGUCUGCAGCGUAGAUCCUUCGGGGCUAAAUGCAUUUGUGCUAAGUUAUAGCAUUUUAUAGACAACUUGUUGACUAUGAUUUGUCUUGUAGCUUACUCGCUUAUGUUAUUUUACCUACGCUUAGGAUGUUGAUCUCUCACAGUCGAGC
rnacentral:rRNA from 1 species